rnacentral:rRNA from 1 species
UACGUAGGGUGCAAGCGUUGUCCGGAAUUAUUGGGCGUAAAGAGCUCGUAGGCGGUUUGUUGCGUCGGCUGUGAAAACCCGGGGCUCAACCCCGGGCCUGCAGCCGAUACGGGCAGACUAGAGUUCGGCAGGGGAGACUGGAAUUCCUGGUGUAGCGGUGAAAUGCGCAGAUAUCAGGAGGAACACCGGUGGCGAAGGCGGGUCUCUGGGCCGAUACUGACGCUGGAGGAGCGAAAGCGUGGGGAGCGAACAGG